UUACGGCCAUAUCACGUUGAGACAGCGGUUCUCGUUCAAUCACCCAAGUUAAGCAACGUCGAUACCGUUCAGUACCUAGAUGGGUGACCGCUUGGGAAUACUGGGGGCAGUAA